rnacentral:rRNA from 1 species
AUGAACGCUAGCGACAGGCUUAACACAUGCAAGUCGAGGGGCAGCGAGGGAGUGCUUGCACUUCUGUCGGCGACCGGCGCACGGGUGAGUAACACGUAUGCAACCUGCCCUUGUCAGGGGGAUAAGCGAGGGAAACCUCGUCUAAUACCGCAUAUAUGAUUUAGAGGCAUCUUUUAAUCAGGAAAGAAUUAUCGGACAAGGGUGAGCACGCUUCUGAUUAGCUAGUUGGUGGGGUGACGGCUCACCAAGGCGACGAUCAGUAGGGGUUCUGAGAGGAAGGUCCCCCACACUGGAACUGAGACACGGUCCAGACUCCUACGGGAGGCAGCAGUGAGGAAUAUUGGUCAAUGGUCUGACGACUGAACCAGCCAUGCCGCGUGAAGGUCACGGCCCUAUGGGUCUUAAACUUCUUUUGCGAGGGAGCAAUAAGGCGCACGUGUGCGUCGAUGAGAGUACCUCGCGAAUAAGCAUCGGCUAACUCCGUG